GUACAUUCAGUAUGCAAAACAAGAAAAGGGUUUACAAACACAAUGGAGCAACAAGAGAGUGACCACAUGGCCAUUGUGCCCUAUGCAAGUCCCCCAACAAGAUGACGGUUGGUCGUGUGGGUUGCAUGCUUUGAGAUUCAUGGAGAAUUGGAAUGGAAAAGACUUGUCCAGCGAGUUCUACACAAUGGACACAACCACUCUAUACCGACAAAAGGUGGCUUCUGACCUUAUCAAUAGUUCUCUGAAUAUUAUCAUCGAAGUGCAAGAAGAUAUAGCUCAUCUACACACCGAAGCAGCAAAAGAUGCAAUUUCUGACCCAACGAAGAAGCACUGAGACCUCGUUUCAUGUCUAUGUACAAAUGUAUCUAGUUAUUGUUGCUGUAAAACUUUUAUUUUGGGGAUGACUAAUGUAAUGCACACUGAGCAUAUAUUCAGAUACACAUCAAUCUAUUUUGCCACAAAUUCAAGAAAUAUAAGCUAGCAGAACAAAACAACUACCUCCCUAGCAUGAAUCGGCACCAACACCAAUCUUCUGAUCUGCGCUCGACCUGCAGCAAAGCUGCUCAAUCUUCCUCCUCGGAUCUGGGCGCCGUGCAGAAUGCCGAGCCGGUGUUUUUCCAGCAAA